ensembl:lincRNA A830019P07Rik RIKEN cDNA A830019P07 gene
CAGAGAGUCACAUGGAAAAGCCCUGAGACCGCAUGGAAGAGCAUACUGUUUUCCAGCCUCUCCUAUUUCCUCCAACUUCCUGUUUGUCCGUUGUCAGCCACUGUGGGACAAGGGAAUGGGAUCUUAAGGGACUUCCUUAUUGGAACCUCAUCAUGACGUCCAGAAACAGAGGAGAAAUGGUCUCUGUCAUUUUACGCCAUGGAGGUUUGAGCAGCUCUUGGCAAGGACAAUUCUUCCCUCUUUGGCCAUGUUCGGGUCUGGCCAUUUAUGUGAACUUCAACUGAGCCUCCAUGAGUUUGAUUUUCCAGUUCGUUUCUCUUCAUUGUUCAGGACCAUUUUGGAGCCAAAUGCCAAGUUUAGCUGACAUAAGGGAGACAUAUACCCAGGACUCAGUGGCAUUUACAUAAGAACAAGGACCACAUCAGGAGAGCAAGAGUUCAAAUUAGCCACGUGCCUAAAGAAGCAAAAAUUGGUGCCAUGUAUAUACAAGCGAAGGAACCCUGGAAGCUAACAGAAUCUGAAAAAAAGCAAAGAAAAGAUUCUCCCUUAUGGUGAAUCCAUAAAACAUAAUGUCUGUUGCUGACACAUCAAUUUCAUUAACAUCUUUUACUUCUUAAUCUAGAAAUAUAAAGCAAUAAGUACUUGAGCUACUUAAUUUAUGUAAUUUGUUGCAAUGAUAGUAGAAAACUAUAUAUGAGAGAUAAAAAGCCAUAGGAGCAAAAAUAUGUAAUGUUUUUUCCCACAAGAAACCUGUUUUCCAAAUAAAAACAAGGAUGAAAGAAUAAAGUCCCCUGGGUAAAGCAUGUGAGUGAAUUGCCUUCAUGUGACUUUACAAAGUCCUUUACCAAUUCCAGCUUGCUGGACCUAGCAAUUUAUAAUGGCUACCAUCUUCCUUUAAAUAUGCAUUUUACUCAUAUCAGUCUGAGAUAAUUUGUGCUUUGUUGAGACCAAUUCUGUCUCUGUAGGUUUGAUUUUGUAUCAUUUUUGCCUUGGUGUACUCUCUGUUCAUUUAAAAUUUGUCCUUAGAAGUCAAAGCCAUUCACAUUCUUUCUGGAUGAUUUGGUAGAGGCUCAUGCUCAUUCUAUGUAUUAAGGCUACUCAUAAAGAAAGAUAUUUCACAAAGAAAUCAUCCAGUGAACUGAAACGUCUCUUGUUCAGCAUGUACCAGCACCUACUAGUAUCUGGGUGAUAUUCAGAGGACAGCACCAGUGCACAUCCAUCUGGAUGAAACUACACUUCUACUACUCAUUUUUUUUAAUGCUAGAAGGCAAUCAGCUUUACCAUAAAGGCUACUAGAUGAUGCUCUGUACUAUUGACUCUUCAAUCAACUGCAUACUUAUGUUUCCCCUUUUGUUUUGCAACCACAUGAUUCUGACAUAUAAAAUCUACAUGCAUGUCAUUUUUAAAUAUACAUUGUGAAGUUAUUUCUAUAUUCUCAUUAUUUAAUGUAUCUAUAAUCUAUGCAUUGUUAGCAUUUUGUACACUUAAAUAAGGAAAAUUGUAGCAAAAAUCUUCAGUGUAUGCUGUCAUAUAUUACAGUUUCCUACUAACACUCAGAUGUAUCUCCGUGUUGUUGAACAGAGCACAAUUCCUCAAGACACUUAUAGGAAAAGAUGAUAAAGAUGAUCAAUCAUAUAACUCCAAAAGUCUGCAGUGAGUGUCUGUGCAUGUCACUAGCAAUCCAAAGAUAACUCCAUUUUUCAUUGUAAUGUUAACACAUUUAUAUUUCCUUAUAUACUCUCCCUGUUAAAAUUGUAUUAUAUUAAAAACAUAUUGGCAUUAAAAU